AGGGACUUUGACGAGCCCUGCCCUGCUGCGGGGUCUCAGAAGCAGAGCUCAGGGCACCUCCAUCAUGGCCUGGACCCCCCUGCUGCUCCCCCUCCUCUCUCUCUGCACAGGUUAUGUGGCCUCUUCUGCACUGACUCAGCCCUCCAUGGUGUCCGUGUCCUUGGGACAGACGGCCAGGAUCACCUGUCAAGGAGGUAACUUCGGAAGCAGUUAUGCUUUCUGGUACCAGCAGAAGCCAGGCCAGGCCCCUGUGCUGGUCAUCUACAGAGAUAGCAACCGGCCCUCAGGGAUCCCUGAGUGGUUCUCUGGCUCCAGUUCUGGGGACACAGCCACCCUGACCAUCAGCGGAGCCCAGGCUUAGGACGAGACCGACUAUUACUGUCACUCAGCAGAUAGCAGUGGU